rnacentral:rRNA from 1 species
CUACGGGAGGCUGCAGUGGGGAAUAUUGGACAAUGGGGGAAACCCUGAUCCAGCAAUGCCGCGCGUGUGAAGAAGGCCUGCGGGUUGUAAAGCACUUUCGGUUGGGAGGACUGCUUCUAGCACUAAUAUUGUUGGAAGUUGACGUUACCUUCAGAAGAAGCACCGGCUAACUCCGUGCCAGCAGCCGCGGUAAUACGGAGGGUGCAAGCGUUAAUCGGAAUUACUGGGCGUAAAGCGCGCGUAGGCGGCUAGAUCAGUCGGGUGUGAAAGCCCCGGGCUUAACCUGGGAACUGCAUCCGAUACUGUCUAGCUUGAGUACAGGAGAGGAGAGUGGAAUUCCACAUGUAGCGGUGAAGUGCGUAGAUAUGUGGAGGAACACCAAUGGCGAAGGCAGCUCUCUGGCCUGAUACUGACGCUGAGGUGCGAAAGCGCGGGGAGCAAACAGGAUUAGAUACCCCCGUAGUC